UUAAUUCUUCUCCUUACUCUUGACAAUUUUAACAUGUUUCAGAACCACAUUCUUUUUCUGUAAGAAUUUUUCUUCAUAUUUUGUAACCUGUGCUUGUCUGUGAGUUUCUGUUUAUUUUACUUUCCAUUGCAAGUUAAAAAUUCUUCUGGUAUUGAAACAAAAAAAUAAAAUUUGUUUCUUGAUGGAUAAUCGAUAUAUGCUUGGUAAUCUAAGCUGGAGCAUAUAUAUUCACAUGUGAAGUAGUAUCAAGUUUAUAUAUUUUCUCUUAAACAGGGACCAUCAAGACCAUUUCUAAAGAUCGUGUGAAGCCAUCUCCAAAACCAGGCAGUUGGAGCAUCAAUGAGAUCUUUGCAAUGGGAAUUGUCAUAGGGACUUAUCUUGCAUUGGUCAAUGUUUUAUUUUACUGGGUUGUGAAAAGCACCACUUUCUUUGAGACUCAUUUCCAUACAAGGUCCAUCAGCAGCAGUAGUGAGGAGAUAUCAUCUGCUAUAUAUCAGCUAGGCCCUUAUAUUUUGUUUCUCGCAGUCAAAGUUGGUCCUUAUGGAGAGACCUGUGACCUGUUGAUGUGCACUUUUGUGAUGGCUCAACUGGAAAACCCUGUUGUGCAACAAUCAGUAGAACUGCUGAUAUAUACUCUUCUCUACAGACUUCAUUUACUUCUAAGGAGGACAAGGAGGCUAUGUGGGUGCUUUCUCAUAGUACCCUACAAGGGGUGAUACCUCCAGAAUUGGAGACCAAUGGGCAGAGGUCUUCUCUGAUUGCUGAACAGGACAGCGGCAGGCUAAAAUAGAUGUCAAAUUGAUGAUUGAGGAACUUGGGUAGCUAAAACCAACAAUUUUCUGCGUUGUUCCUCGUGUGUUGGAUAGGAUAUAUUCAGGUAAAUUUGGAAGAAAUAAUACCUCAGUGUGCUAUGGAUGCUAUUCUCUGCUUCUCCAGUACAUGUACACAGAAACUAUCCACUCAUGAUUUGUAUGAGGUGCAGUAGCCAUUCUUAUGUGCAAUGACAUUGCUAUUCAACUCUUUGUUGGUGAUCAUCCAUUUGUUUAAUUAGAUGAGAUAAAUACAUAUUCACAUUCUUAGCCACUGGUUUUAAUUUUUUUCAGGUCUGACAAAGGUGUCUUCUGGGGGUUUCUUAAAAUGCUAAUUGUUUAACAUUGCAUACUCAUAGUAAGUUUCUCCUCAUUGUUCCAUUUUUCUGUAGUGAAAGUCACUCUGUUCUGUACCCACAAGCUUUGAAGCCCAUAGUGACAGAGUUUUCUUCCAAGCUGGGGAACCUCAUGGAAAAUCUAGUCUAUCCAUCUUUUUGGGUACAUUGUGGAUGAUAUCUCUAUGAUGCCCCUAUUUGAAUUCAAGGCCAUGCCACUCCUGUUGCAUCUUUUUCAAUCAAAACAGCCCGUAAGGCCAAGGGUUCUUACUUCAUUUAAAAAGGAUGACAAUAGCAAAUCCUUCUUUUCCAUAUGGCAGAAGGCUAUUGGGAUAAAAUUUGCAACAUGGAAGGAGGCAGACAUGGUGUAUGACCUAUAAACCUAUGAGAUGGUCAAAGAUAGCCAAUUUUUGGAGCCUAUUCAUUAACAACAAAACAUUUGAGUCAAUAUGUCUUAGAGUGGGGAAGAAAACAGCACAUCCCCUGUUCAUUUUAACGGAUCGGUGAUAUCUAUGUUCAUAGUUUUCAUUGUACUCUUCAUUCUUUCUUAGAUCAUAUAAAUUUCUCAUCUGUAAUUGGCUUUUGUUGUUACACUUUUAACUAUUCCUUCUUGGCUACUGUCUAACCAACAAAUUGAUUUGCAUUCUCUCCAUUUCUGAUAUGGGAAUUAACAGUUUUGUAUCCUUCCUGAUUGCUGUGGUCAUCACCAGUCAACAAGCCCUGGAGCAUUGGGCUGAAGAGAAUGGAAUGUCGACGGAGGGUUUUAAUUCGCUUUGUGAGAAUCCCAAGCCAAAGAAUCCAUCAUUUGGUCUGGCUGGGGGGUUGAGGCCUGAUCAAGUAUUUGUUAUUAGCUUUCAAGUCUUUGCCUCGCUCUUACCUUAUUUGGUGUAAAAAGAGUUGGUUAUGUUCAGUAUACAGUUCAUUUGCUAAAAUUAAGUCUUCUUUUGUGUGUGAUUAUUUAAAUAUAUUUGUGAACAAAAGUGCCGUAAACAAUGUAAAUGUCUAUUGUUGUGUCCCCUGUCUCUUAUAUAGCUGGAUCUGUUUUGGGAGAUC